CCAUCAGUUAGGGAUAAUUCUGAUCUGUAAGGUUCCUUUAAGGACCUACAGUUUAGAAACGUGAUGAUUGCGGUUGAUGACUUGUGUGAGUUAAAUCCGCGGGAACUGGGAGUAACGACCCCAGUUUCUAGUCUGAC